GUGCUCGCUUUGGCAGCACAUAUACUAAAAUUGCAACGAUACAGAGAAGAUUAGCAUGGCCCCUGCUCAAGGAUGACACGCAAAUUCGUGAAGCGUUCCAUAUUUUU
rnacentral:snRNA from 1 species